UGGGAGUGUCACGAACACCCUUUUGAACCUCGUGGAGGUGGUUUUCUCUUCGCUCUAUUGACUCUGCUGAAUCCAGGUAUUUGCUUCAGUGAAGCUGCUCUUCCGUUUGACAUAUUCUUGUACAGCACUGCAAACAUGUCAGACCCAACAAGACUAGAAAUGGCAUUGGCUGCAAUGUUCAGUGCCUACAUGUCCUACCAAGGAGAUGACAAUAAACUGACCAAAGAACAAUUUCUAAAAUUAGUGAAGAAUGAACUACCCUUACUUUCUCAGGUAAG